UACGUAGGGUGCGAGCGUUGUCCGGAAUUACUGGGCGUAAAGAGCUCGUAGGUGGUUUGUCGCGUUGUCCGUGAAAACUCACAACUCAAUUGUGGGCGUGCGGGCGAUACGGGCAGACUGGAGUACUGCAGGGGAGACUGGAAUUCCUGGUGUAGCGGUGAAAUGCGCAGAUAUCAGGAGGAACACCGGUGGCGAAGGCGGGUCUCUGGGCCGAUACUGACGCUGAGGAGCGAAAGUGUGGGGAGCGAACAGG
rnacentral:rRNA from 1 species